rnacentral:lncRNA from 1 species
ACUCUAUUCCUAAAAGUCCUAGAUUGCACUCAUAGCCUGGGUAUUGGGCCUUUUACCUCGAGUAACUCCCACCCCAAACAGAGAAACACAGCCAGCACAGCAGAUAAAAUGAAUGAAUGCAAACAUUAAUGCACACAUUGAAAGCAAACAGUAAACGACAUGAAUGCAAUAAAUAAAGCAGCAUAUAACAACCAAAGCCCUAACCUAGAGAGCG